CACCUCUGCCUCAGCGUCGGAG
rnacentral:rRNA from 1 species